rnacentral:tRNA from 1 species
GGGAAGGUGGCUCAGUGGUAGAGUGCUUGCCUUGCAUGCAUGAGGCCCUGGGUUCAAUUCCUCGCGUACCA